CUGUAUUUCCUAUGUCUAGUUUGUCAGAUAUCUUUUUAUCUAGAGAUCUAGAUCAAGAUUAGCUAAGAAUUUAUUAUUCUAGGUAGAUCUAGAUCUUCGUCAGAGCAGCCACUGGGCUAAAGCAAUUUGUAUCUAAAGAUGCUCGACAAUGACAAUCCGAUGUUCAGAUGCUACAAACUAUUUUGGUGCCUAAUGAGUUUCUGAUCGUUGUGUUCCAAUGACUAAGAUCGUGAGAUUGUCGUAAGAAAAGCAGAAUUUUAUUUUUUGAACGAAAAUGAAGCGACUCAAGACUAUUGUGAAAUCAAAGAAAACUCAGUUAGACAUAGCUCACAGCAGUAUGAAUGAUUUCCAGGCUCCUGAAUACACACGCCAAUCUGAGAAUGCAAUUUUUGUAUAUUGCUUGUUAAGUGACGGCCCGGUGUAUAUU
rnacentral:sRNA from 1 species